CACACGAACAAGCGGACAAGUGUUAUACGGGAGAGCAACAAGGGGCGGUUGCGAAUUUUUUCCGCGUGCGGUUUGCGGUUGUUGACUCUUUGGAAGAACGCUUGUCAUGUCCAAGCCGGUUCUCCUGUGCAGCUUUCUCGGCUCCCGCUCAUGUCGCGUUCGCAUCGUCUUACAAGUGAAGAAGAUUGACUUCGAAUAUCGUCCAGUGGAGUUGAAACCGAAUGGCGAGCAGGUAAC